CGGUAUCAUACUGCCAAGACAUGAUUGAGGAAUUUUCCCCAGCCUCCCCCCACUAUUCUGACAUCACGGAUUGGGAUACAGAUGAUAUUGAUGACAGCCUUCUUUUGGAAGCUACUGAGGGCAUGAGUACUUCUGU